CUCAGCAAUUUUUUUCAUGUUUUUAAUCUAUGAUUUCAUACAUUUUGUGCUCAUAGGUGUAUAGAUUCCACCAUUUAUAGCUAUCCAGAAAGGGAUGGUUUGAAUGUAGGAAGAAGUUUGUAGACUGUGUUGAUGGAGGUAAUGGUGCCUGGAUCCCUUAUGUCCUUUGGGGUUUUUUCUAAGCUACUGCUCUAGAAGGAGACAGCCACCUCCAUGCCUUUGACCCUGGUGAACUGUUUACCUUCAUCUUUUUCUGCAUGUCUUGACAAGACAGAGACAACGUACCUUUUGAAAAACACCUGAAGAACAAAGGAAGCAGCAUUCAACUGGAUGAGGGAUCCUGACUGAAAGAAGUUCAGCCAGUAGGACUGCUGAACCAUGAGCCAACAGUUGAAGAUAGACCCAGCGCAGCCUCGAAACGACCUCCUUUUGUUCAGCACUAUCCCUCAUCAUGGGUGCAUGACAUGGAAGAAGAAUGUUCAGGCUGCAGAUAUGGAUAGUGAAUGUACAUGGAGUUCUUCACAGGAAGUCUUCAUGCUGCCAUAAGACAGACAGUCCAGGGCUGUGCACAACUCACUCAAGUAAUUUGACUGGACAAGUUGAAAAAAAGCAGCAAAUGCUCCCAAUGACUGGGGGUGGAUGGGUCACUACAAA